rnacentral:rRNA from 1 species
UACGUAGGGGGCAAGCGUUGUCCGGAAUCAUUGGGCGUAAAGAGCGUGUAGGCGGCUCGAUAAGUCUGCUGUGAAAGUCCAGGGCUCAACCCUGGAAGGCCGGUGGAAACUGUCGGGCUAGAGUCCGGAAGAGGCGAGUGGAAUUCCCGGUGUAGCGGUGAAAUGCGCAGAUAUCAGGAGGAACACCAAUUGCGAAGGCAGCUCGCUGGGACGUUACUGACGCUGAGACGCGAAAGCGUGGGGAGCAAACGGG